rnacentral:piRNA from 1 species
UAUGAUGUUUAAAAUUGGUGA